GACGAACGCUGGCGGCGUGCCUAAUACAUGCAAGUUGAGCGCUGAAGGUUGGUACUUGUACCAACUGGAUGAGCAGCGAACGGGUGAGUAACGCGUGGGGAAUCUGCCUUUGAGCGGGGGACAACAUUUGGAAACGAAUGCUAAUACCGCAUAAAAACUUUAAACACAAGUUUUAAGUUUGAAAGAUGCAAUUGCAUCACUCAAAGAUGAUCCCGCGUUGUAUUAGCUAGUUGGUGAGGUAAAGGCUCACCAAGGCGAUGAUACAUAGCCGACCUGAGAGGGUGAUCGGCCACAUUGGGACUGGGACACGGCCCAAACUCCUACGGGAGGCAGCAGUAGGGAAUCUUCGGCAAUGGACGAAAGUCUGAACGAGCAACGCCGCGUGAGUGAAGAAGGUUUUCGGAUCGUAAAACUCUGUUGGUAGAGAAGAACGUUGGUGAGAGUGGAAAGCUCAUCAAGUGACGGUAACUACCCAGAAAGGGACGGCUAACUACGUG
rnacentral:rRNA from 1 species